GGAAUCUUCCACAAUGGGCGCAAGCCUGAUGGAGCAACACCGCGUGAGUGAAGAAGGGUUUCGGCUCGUAAAGCUCUGUUGUUAGAGAAGAAUGUGCGUGAGAGCAACUGUUCACGCAGUGACGGUAACUUACCAGAAAGGGACGGCUAACUACGUGCCAGCAGCCGCGGUAAUACGUAGGUCCCGAGCGUUGUCCGGAUUUAUUGGGCGUAAAGCGAGCGCAGGCGGUUUAAUAAGUCUGAAGUUAAAGGCAGUGGCUUAACCAUUGUUCGCUUUGGAAACUGUUAGACUUGAGUGCAGAAGGGGAGAGUGGAAUUCCAUGUGUAGCGGUGAAAUGCGUAGAUAUAUGGAGGAACACCAGUGGCGAAGGCGGCUGUCUGGUCUGCAACUGACGCUGAGGCUCGAAAGCAUGGGUAGCGAACA
rnacentral:rRNA from 1 species